GGGGUUUGCAGGAGACCAGGAAUGAGAGGAAACGCGGUGCCAGAGCAGGCUGUGUUUGCCUCUGAGGACAGAGAGCCUGUGGGCUGAGAAUUGCCACGAGAGGAAAUACCUCAGAGGGGCUUCCCUCCAAAUAAGCCCUGAAUAUGCCAGGAGGUUUCAGCUGGGAGAAUGGAGCUGUGGAAGAAAACCACCCUAAAAAUAGCCAGUGGGGAUCAUCAGGUUUUCCAGCCAAGAAAAACAAGGACGGAGAUGAGGGAAUCGGGUUCCAAUUAAUAAUGAUUUGGUGGGUGUAGGAAUGAUUUCUGUGUUUUCCAGUCCCUUUUGAUGAUUUUAAAAUCAUGGCUUUAGCAAUCAACUAAAUUGGAGAUGUUGUUUUUGAGAGGAAAUGAUGCCAAAUAAAUGCAGAGAGAGAGCAUGGAAUCA